rnacentral:rRNA from 1 species
GUAUCUUCUAGAUAUGAGUAGAGCGGCGGACGGGUGAGUAACGCGUAGGAAUCUACCUAGUAGAAGGGGAUAGCCCGGGGAAACUCGGAUUAAUACCGUAUACCUCCUUCGGAAGAAAGAAGGCCUCUCUUUGAUGCUUUCGCUAUUAGAUGAGCCUGCGUAAGAUUAGCUUGUUGGUGAGGUAAAGGCUCACCAAGGCGACGAUCUUUAGCUGGUCUGAGAGGACGAUCAGCCACAUUGGGACUGAGACACGGCCCAGACUCCUACGGGAGGCAGCAGUGGGGAAUAUUGGACAAUGGGCGCAAGCCUGAUCCAGCCAUACCGCGUGUGUGAAGAAGGCCUUCGGGUUGUAAAGCACUUUAAGCAGGGAGAAAAAGUUAUAAGUUAAUACCUUAUAGCCGUGAUGUUACCUGCAGAAUAAGCACCGGCUAAUUCCGUGCCAGCAGCCGCGGUAAUACGGAAGGUGCAAGCGUUAAUCGGAAUUACUGGGCGUAAAGCGCGCGUAGGUGGUUUGUUAAGUUGGAUGUGAAAGCCCUGGGCUCAACCUAGGAACUGCAUCCAAAACUAACUCACUAGAGUACGAUAGAGGGAGGUAGAAUUCAUAGUGUAGCGGUGGAAUGCGUAGAUAUUAUGAAGAAUACCAGUGGCGAAGGCGGCCUCCUGGAUCUGUACUGACACUGAGGUGCGAAAGCGUGGGUAGCGAACAGGAUUAGAUACCCUGGUAG